UGUUACGAAAACGACCACAGAAACACUGUGACUCACAGGCCUGUCCCUUGCUCAGGCUCAGGCUCAGGCAUGACUAUGGUCACAGAGGGGA
ensembl:snoRNA